AUUGAACGCUGGCGGCAGGCUUAACACAUGCAAGUCGAGCGGAGAUGAGGUGCUUGCACCUUAUCUUAGCGGCGGACGGGUGAGUAAUGCUUAGGAAUCUGCCUAUUAGUGGGGGACAACAUUCCGAAAGGAAUGCUAAUACCGCAUACGCCCUACGGGGGAAAGCAGGGGAUCUUCGGACCUUGCGCUAAUAGAUGAGCCUAAGUCGGAUUAGCUAGUUGGUGGGGUAAAGGCCUACCAAGGCGACGAUCUGUAGCGGGUCUGAGAGGAUGAUCCGCCACACUGGGACGGAGACACGGCCCAGACUCCUACGGGAGGCAGCAGUGGGGAAUAUUGGACAAUGGGCGGAAGCCUGAUCCAGCCAUGCCACGUGUGUGAAGAAGGCCUUUUGGUUGUAAAGCACUUUAAGCGAGGAGGAGGCUACCUGGAUUAAUACUCUAGGAUAGUGGACGUUACUCGCAGAAUAAGCACCGGCUAACUCUGUGCCAGCCGCCGCGGUAAAAC
rnacentral:rRNA from 1 species